rnacentral:piRNA from 1 species
UAGAUGAAGAAGUGAUUUCCCUAACAGGAAU